rnacentral:rRNA from 1 species
AGUGAACGCUGGCGGUAGGCCUAACACAUGCAAGUCGAACGGCAGCACAGAAGAGCUUGCUCUCUGGGUGGCGAGUGGCGGACGGGUGAGGAAUACAUCGGAAUCUACUUUUUCGUGGGGGAUAACGUAGGGAAACUUACGCUAAUACCGCAUACGACCUACGGGUGAAAUCAGGGGACCUUCGGGCCUUGCGCGAUUGAAUGAGCCGAUGUCGGAUUAGCUAGUUGGCGGGGUAAAGGCCCACCAAGGCGACGCUCCGUAGCUGGUCUGGGAGGAUGAUCAGCCGCACUGGAACUGAUACAAGGUCCAGACUCCUACGGGGGGCAGCAGUGGGGAAUAUUGGACAAUGGGCGCAAGCCUGAUCCAGCCAUACCGCGUGGGUGAAGAAGGCCUUCGGGUUGUAAAGCCCUUUUGUUGGGAAAGAAAUCCAGCUGGCUAAUACCCGGUUGGGAUAACGGUACCCAAAGAAUAAGCACCGGCUAACUUCGUGCCAGCCGCCGCCGUAA